rnacentral:rRNA from 1 species
CCUACGGGAGGCAGCAGUAGGGAAUCUUCCGCAAUGGGCGCAAGCCUGACGGAGCAACGCCGCGUGAGUGAUGAAGGCCUUCGGGUUGUAAAACUCUGUCUUCUGUGAAGAACAAGCCUGUGAGUGGAAAGCUCAGGCCUUGACGGUAACAGAGGAGGAAGCCCCGGCUAACUACGUGCCAGCAGCCGCGGUAAUACGUAGGGGGCAAGCGUUGUCCGGAAUCACUGGGCGUAAAGCGCGCGCAGGCGGCGAUCUACGUCCGGGGUGAAAGCCCAGAGCUCAACUCUGGGACUGCCUUGGAUACGGGAUCGCUUGAGGAUCGGAGAGGCAAGGGGAAUUCCACGUGUAGCGGUGAAAUGCGUAGAGAUGUGGAGGAACACCUGUGGCGAAGGCGCCUUGCUGGCCGAUUUCUGACGCUGAGGCGCGAAAGCGUGGGGAGC